UAGGGUAGAGCUUGACCAAGCAUCUCUUUUACACGGAGAAGAUAUCUGUGCAAACCAGAUUACCUUGA
rnacentral:tRNA from 1 species